CUGCUUAACCUGUGAUUCAAGGGUGUUGUGCUAAUAAAAGUUGGAGGCCAAAGCACAUUCAUUUAAGUUACAAUAGUGUGCCAAGAUUGGUGACCUGGUGCGUGAAGGAUAUAUAACGGAUUUUUUUCCUUUUUCUUUUCUUUGGCUGACGAUGUAGAUGCAGAUAUCAUUCAGUUUUCAGUUGCAGUGCUCUCUGUAAUCCCGUAAAACGAACCAGGCCUGACUCCAAACUCCUUGCAUUUGGAAGAUGAAAUAGCCAUCAUUCUGGAGGGAUGGGUUGUCGUCGAUUGUCUGCCAGAUCUGCCAAAAGCGGUCCGGAUUUGGCCCCCACAUUGCCAGUUGAAUAAACCUGUGUUAGGGGAAGCUGAGUUCCCUUGCCGCUGCUCUACUCUUCUCAAAACCUGGAUGCGGGACCACGUGCUCUGAACCCCUUGUCAAACCUUCCUUAUCUCUACAUGAACUCCCUGCCAGUAAUUUGAAAAUGGAAAAAAAGAAAAGUGAAUACAAAGAACGAACCAAUAUUUUCACUCCAUCCUGUCACUGCCGUCACCGUUGAUCUGCACAACACAGUCCUUGUCCAAAGGUUCCUUCGAGUGUGUUGUGUCAAAGUGAUGGUUGCUCAUCACGUACCUCCCGUGGGCAUCGAGACCUAAUGCAGGCACAAAGCGACGGUCAAACUGGAUUUCCUGGCGAAGUUACUCCAGACGUGAUCGCCUGCUGAGAGAAGGGUUGAGAAAAUGUGUACCUGUGAUGAAAGCCUCCAGCAUGAGCCCCAGCAGCAUCUGCACAGCCAGCAGAGCUAUGGCACUUGGACAGUCACCACUUGGGAACAUGGUGCCAUAGC